rnacentral:lncRNA from 1 species
AAAAUAAAGCAGAAGUAAUUUUAAAAUGACACCAUAAAAUGUGCUGUGGUUUUGGCUUUCUUCUUUCUCUUUCUCAGAGCACCCUUUGUGCAAGAAGGCAGUGCUAUGUCAUGAGGAUAAUCAAGCAGCCCUACAGAGAGGUCCACAUGGAGAGAACUGAGGCUUGCUUGAACUCUGUGAGAUGUUGUUUUAAUUUAAACAACAAAAUUUAAACUAAAUUUUGGGAUAAUUUGUUACAGACUAGUAUAUAAAUAAUAUAUCUUUUUAAAAAUUAUGUUUUCUAUUUGUUUCUGGUUUACAGAAAUUAAAGUUUUUACAUUAUUCUCCUAGCCAGUUACUUUAUUUAGCUCUCUUCUUAAUUUCAGUAAUAAUACAUUUCAAUAGAUUCUAUUGAGUUUUAUGUAGACAGUCAUCUUCUAUGUACUUAAUGGCAGCUUUGAGUCUUUCUCUCCAAUCCUUAUUUAUUUUUCUUCUCCAUGCAGAUGGCUUAGUCUUUGAUAUAGUAUCAACUAGAAAAAAUGAUAGUGAGUAUCCUUGUUCUGUUCUUGAUUUUAAGGGGAUUUUCUAAUAUUUUUCCAUUUAAGAAUACCAUCUUAGAGGUUUCUGAUGGAUAUCCUUAUUAGAUUAAGGGAGUUCUUUCUAACUCCUGGUUGCUUCUGUCAAGAUACAUACACACACACACACACACACACAUUUGCUUUUUUUGUGCUAUGGGUGGCAAGUACUGCUGGGUUAGGCUGUGCCUGAACAAUGCCAAGAAAGAAAGAGAAUAACCUUUGCCGUGUUUUAUCUUCAAGAUCUUUGGAGGUCAUGAAAUGUAAGGCAAGUUGUUAGUGAAGGCUUUGGAAUACACUGUUUCCUAAGAGCUGAUGAAAGAUGGGGAACAUAGCCACACUUGUGACUUAGGAAUGCAAGGGCUAGGACCCACUUCACUGCUCAAGGACCUCUGGCCUGCUUGUUCUGUCUCAUUCUCACCUCUCUUCCACCCAAGUGUCAGAAGUGGUAGCAUAACCAUUGGGAAGAGUAGGCCUGACUCCUUCAUUAUCGGUCUCUCAGUGGCUCUCCAUGUUUCUGUGUGUCUCUGUCUUUCUUGUUCACUUCUGAGGCAGGAGAUCAUUUCAUAGAGCAAAUAGUUCUCUUGAAGCAUUAAAUGUUUUACAAUAAGUCAUAUUUUGAGUUGGCAUGUGACAAUUUCUGUUUGCAUGUAUAAAAAGCUUUUGUACCCAGGAUAACAGGUGCCCCAAAAAGCACAAACUGAAGAUAAUCCAAAAUCAGGUGUAUCCAGGUCCAGCAAAUGACUUAGUCACUCCAGGCUUGUUUCUUUACCUCAAAAAUGAGAGGGUUAGGAUAUUUGCUCUCUAAGCCCCCUUGCAGCUUUGGGACUAUGCACAAUGUGGACAGUCAAGAAAUGCUCAGUAGACUGAAGUCCAUGACAGCAGAGGCAGUAUCUACUUUUUCUUGUUAUGGUGUCACCUGCUACUUAGAAUAGAGUAUGGCAGGUUGGGCAUGGUAGCUCAUGCCUAUAAUCCCAGCACUAUGGGAGGUUGAGAUGGGAGGAUCACAUUAGCCUAGGAGCUCAAGACCAGCCUGGGCAAUAUAGUGAGACUCCCAUCUCUAAAAAAACGUUUUUUAAAAAAAGCCAGGCAUUAUGGCAUGCACCUAUAGUCCCAGCUACCCAGGAGGCUGAGUUGGCUGGAUAGCUUGAGCCCAGGAGUUUGGGGCUGCAGUGAGCCAUG